rfam:Myotis brandtii contig262134, whole genome shotgun sequence.
GGCAGUUCUUGGGUGACGCACCCUGGAAUCGGGCUCCCUCCUCUCUGGUUCCAGGGUGCAUCAUCUGAGAACCACC